rnacentral:rRNA from 1 species
GACGAACGCUGGCGGCAUGCCUAAUACAUGCAAGUCGAGCGGAUCUUGUUAGUAGCUUGCUACUAACUUGGUUAGCGGCGGACGGGUGAGUAACACGUAGGCAACCUGCCCUUAAGAUCGGGAUAACAUUCGGAAACGAAUGCUAAGACCGGAUAAACAAUUUGGCUGCAUGGCUGAAUUGGGAAACGCGGAGCAAUCUGCGGCUUAGGGAUGGGCCUGCGGCGCAUUAGCUAGUUGGUGGGGUAAAGGCUCACCAAGGCGACGAUGCGUAGCCGACCUGAGAGGGUGAACGGCCACACUGGGACUGAGACACGGCCCAGACUCCUACGGGAGGCAGCAGUAGGGAAUCUUCCACAAUGGGCGAAAGCCUGAUGGAGCAAUGCCGCGUGAGUGAGGAAGGCUUUCGGGUCGUAAAGCUCUGUUGCCAGGGAAGAAUAAGGGUGAGAGUAACUGCUCAUUCGAUGACGGUACCUGAGAAGAAAGCCCCGGCUAACG